CAGGCUUAACACAUGCAAGUCGAGCGGAAACGAUGGGAGCUUGCUCCCAGGCGUCGAGCGGCGGACGGGUGAGUAACACUUAGGAAUCUACCUAGUAGUGGGGGAUAGCUCGGGGAAACUCGAAUUAAUACCGCAUACGUCCUACGGGAGAAAGGGGGCAACUUGUUGCUCUCGCUAUUAGAUGAGCCUAAGUCGGAUUAGCUAGUUGGUGGGGUAAAGGCCUACCAAGGCGACGAUCUGUAGCUGGUCUGAGAGGAUGAUCAGCCACACCGGGACUGAGACACGGCCCGGACUCCUACGGGAGGCAGCAGUGGGGAAUAUUGGACAAUGGGGGCAACCCUGAUCCAGCCAUGCCGCGUGUGUGAAGAAGGCCUUUUGGUUGUAAAGCACUUUAAGCAGUGAAGAAGACCAUAUGGUUAAUACCCAUAUGCGAUGACAUUAGCUGCAGAAUAAGCACCGGCUAACUCUGUGCCAGCAGCCGCGGUAAUACAGAGGGUGCAAGCGUUAAUCGGAAUUACUGGGCGUAAAGCGAGCGUAGGUGGCUUGAUAAGUCAGAUGUGAAAUCCCCGGGCUUAACCUGGGAACUGCAUCUGAUACUGUUAGGCUAGAAUAGGUGAGAGGAAGGUAGAAUUCCAGGUGUAGCGGUGAAAUGCGUAGAGAUCUGGAGGAAUACCGAUGGCGAAGGCAGCCUUCUGGCAUCAUAUUGACACUGAGGUUCGAAAGCGUGGGUAGCAAACAGGAUUAGAUACCCUGGUAGUCCACGCCGUAAACGAUGUCUACUAGUCGUUGGGUCCCUUGAGGACUUAGUGACGCAGCUAACGCAAUAAGUAGACC
rnacentral:rRNA from 1 species